UGCGUAAUAGCUCACUAGUCGAGUGACCCUGCGCCGAAAAUGUACCGGGGCUAAACAUAUUACCGAAGCUUUGGAUUGAUAUUUUAUCAAUGGUAGGAGAGCGUUCUUAACCGCGAUGAAGGUAUACCGUGAGGAGUGCUGGAGCGUUAAGAAGUGAGAAUGCCGGUAUGAGUAGCGCAAGAUAAGUGAGAAUCUUAUCCACCGUAAGACUAAGGUUUCCAGGGGAAGGCUCGUCCGCCCUGGGUUAGUCGGGACCUAAGGCGAGGCCGAAAGGCGUAGUCGAUGGACAACUGGUUGAUAUUCCAGUACUAGAUAUGAUCGUGAUGGAGGGACGCAGUAGGCUAAGAGAUGCCAGUUAAUGGAUUCUGGUCUAAGCAGUGAGGUGUGAGAUGUGUCAAAUGCAUUUCUCUUUAACAUUGAGCUGUGAUGGGGAAGCAACUACGGUUGCGAACUCUCUGAUGUCACACUGCCAAGAAAAGCUUCUAGCGUAAAGUCAUAUCUACCCGUACCGCAAACCGACACAGGUAGUCGAGGCGAGUAGCCUCAGGUGAUCGAGAGAACUCUCGUUAAGGAACUCGGCAAAAUAGCCCCGUAACUUCGGGAGAAGGGGUGCUGGUGUAAAAGCCAGCCGCAGUGAAUAGGCCCAAGCAACUGUUUAUCAAAAACACAGCUCUCUGCUAAACCGCAAGGUGAUGUAUAGGGGGUGACGCCUGCCCGGUGCUGGAAGGUUAAGAGGAGUGCUUAGACGUAAGUCGAAGGUAUGAAUUGAAGCCCCAGUAAACGGCGGCCGUAACUAUAACGGUCCUAAGGUAGCGAAAUUCCUUGUCGGGUAAGUUCCGACCCGCACGAAAGGCGUAAUGAUUUGGGCACUGUCUCAACGAGAGACUCGGUGAAAUUUUAGUACCUGUGAAGAUGCAGGUUACCCGCGACAGGACGGAAAGACCCCAUGGAGCUUUACUGUAGUUUGAUAUUGAGUACCUGUAAGUCAUGUACAGGAUAGGUAGGAGCCAUUGAAAUAGGGACGCUAGUUUCUAUUGAGGCGUUGUUGGGAUACUACCCUUGACUUAUGGUUACUCUAACCCGCUGGCAUAAUCGGCCAGGGAGACAGUGUCUGACGGACAGUUUGACUGGGGCGGUCGCCUCCUAAAGAGUAACGGAGGCGCUCAAAGGUUGGCUCAGAUUGGUUGGAAAUCAAUCGUAGAGUGUAAAGGUAAAAGCCAGCUUGACUGCGAGAGCUACAACUCGAGCAGGUAGGAAACUAGGACUUAGUGAUCCGGUGGUACCGCAUGGAAGGGCCAUCGCUCAACGGAUAAAAGCUACCCUGGGGAUAACAGGCUUAUCUCCCCCAAGAGUUCACAUCGACGGGGAGGUUUGGCACCUCGAUGUCGGCUCGUCGCAUCCUGGGGCUGUAGUCGGUCCCAAGGGUUGGGCUGUUCGCCCAUUAAAGCGGCACGCGAGCUGGGUUCAGAACGUCGUGAGACAGUUCGGUCCCUAUCCGUCGCGGGCGUAGGUAAUUUGAGAGGAUCUGUCCUUAGUACGAGAGGACCGGGAUGGACUUACCGCUGGUGUACCAGUUGUUCCGCCAGGAGCACGGCUGGAUAGCUAUGUAGGGAAGGGAUAAGCGCUGAAAGCAUCUAAGUGCGAAGCCCACCUCAAGAUGAGAUUACCCAUUCGUAAGAAUUAAGAGCCCAGAGAGAUGAUCUGGUAGAUAGGCUGGAAGUGGAAGAGUUGCGAGACUUGGAGCGGACCAGUACUAAUCGCUCGAGGACUUUACC
rnacentral:rRNA from 1 species